UUUUUCCUUUUUAACUGAUCUCUUCUUAUAAAGGGCAAGACGUUCAACUUUGCAUUAAUGGUUCCCGAUUCAACAAUGCAGAUUCGCCACUCAACCUCCGGUGUUUGUUGAGCGCAUCCCAUUAAGCCAUCCUGUGUUCAGUGCGGUGCACGAGUGAAGAUAAAUCUCUCUGGAUCCUGACCUCAAGCAGCUUAGAGUCUAGUAGUUGAAGUCAGAUAUGUGCCUAAGUAACCACAACACAAAGCAGCAAGAGGUGCAUCAUAUGAAGCAAAAAUGGGAAGUAAAAAGCAUUGCUUUCAGCAGUGGACUAGGGCCACGUCUAACAGAAGAUUGUCAUGGUGAAGGGAAAGUUGACCUUGGCAGCAAGAAUGUACUAGAGACUGGAGUGACAGAAGCCAGUUAGAGGCUACCCAAAUUUUUUUGUGUAUUAUGUUUUAUAUUGAAUAUAUGCAAUUUCAUAAUGUAACACCUUAGAUUACUUAUAUGUAUGGAAUGAAUGUGGAUAAACAAAUUGUCAUAUAUUCAUACAAUGGGAUACUAUUCAGCUAUAAAAAGAAACAAACUAUUGUACUGAUUCAUGCAAUGAUAAGGAUGAAUCUCCCAGACAUUAUUCUGAACAGAAGAAACUAGACACAGAAUUAGGAAGACUGUAUGACUCUGUUUAUGUGAUGAAAUUCUAGAACAGAGUAAAGAAAUCUAUGUUGACAAAUCGGAUCGGUGAUUGACUAGGGUGUCAUGAUACAGGUGCAAAUGAGCAAAAGGAAACUUUCCGGGGAAAUAUUCUAUAUCUUAAAUGGGGACAUGGUAACAUGGAUGAAUGUUUGUCAGAAUUCAUCUAUUUCUACAUAGAAUGUGUGAAUUUUACCACAAUAAAAUUUACUUAAAAAUUAGAAAAUGGUAAAGCAUAAGAAGUUCCUAUGGUCAGCAAGGUACUUAAUUUGUAAUUGGUCAUCUCUAAAUUGUGUUAAUUCACUAUUAAAUGUAGUUUUAAAAAAGAAAAUAAACUCACUUUAACAAAGAA